AUUGAACGCUGGCGGCAGGCCUAACACAUGCAAGUCGAGCGGAUGAAGGGAGCUUGCUCCUGGAUUCAGCGGCGGACGGGUGAGUAAUUCCUAGGAAUCUGCCUGGUUGUGGGGGCUAACGUCCGGAAACGGGCGCUAAUACCGCAUAAGUCCUGAGGGCGUAAGUGGGGGAUCUUCGGACCUUCCGCUAUCAGAUGAGCCUAGGUCGGAUUAGCUAGUUGGUGGGGUAAAGGCCUACCAAGGCGACGAUCCGUAGCUGGUCUGAGAGGAUGAUCAGCCACACUGGAACUGAGACACGGUCCAGACUCCUACGGGAGGCAGCAGUGGGGAAUAUUGGACAAUGGGCGAAAGCCUGAUCCAGCCAAGCCGCGUGGGUGAAGAAGGUCUUCGGAUUGUAAAGCACUUUUAGUGGGGAGGAAGAGCAGUAAGUUAAUACCUUGCUGUUUUGACGGUACCAACAGAAUAAGCACCGGCUAACUUCGUG
rnacentral:rRNA from 1 species